AUUGAACGCUGGCGGCAGGCCUAACACAUGCAAGUCGAACGGUAACAGGAAGCAGCUUGCUGCUUUGCUGACGAGUGGCGGACGGGUGAGUAAUGUCUGGGAAACUGCCCGAUUGAGGGGGAUAACUACUGGCAACGGUAGCUAAUACCGCAUAACGUCGCAAGACCAAAGAGGGGGACCUUAGGGCCUCUUGCCAUCGUAUGUGCCCAGAUGGGAUUAGCUAGUAGGUGGGGUAACGGCUCACCUAGGCGACCAUCCCUAGCUGGUGUGAGAGGCUGACAAGCCACAUUGGAAGUGAGACACGGUCCAGAGUCCUACGGGAGGCAGCAAUGGGGAAUAUUGCACAAUGGGCGCAAGCCUGAUGCAGCCAUGCCGCGUGUAUGAAGAAGGCCUUCGGGUUGUAAAGUACUUUCAGCGGGGAGGAAGGGAGUAAAGUUAAUACCUUUGCUCAUUGACGUUACCCGCAGAAGAAGCACCGGCUAACUCCGUG
rnacentral:rRNA from 1 species